GAGAUGACGUUGAGCGGCGUCGUGUGAUUGGCUGCGCGGCUGAGCCGUUGCGUUCCCCUCACGCCUCGUCCCUCGCAGGUGGUCUGCAGGGCUCGGGGCGGGCUGCAAGUGGAGGGGGCGAGCGAGGGCCCUCCAGGGCUUUGGGUCAGCAAGCUGAGGGGCAGAGCGAGGCCCCUCCCUUCGCGCCUUCUCGUGACCGUAGGACAAGUGAACAACCGGCCGCGUGGGCCCGUCGCCAUCCCUCAGCGUGUUCGCACCUCACAGUGCGUUCGCAUGUCAAACCCUUCCCGCCUCUCCACGGAGCAGGCGAGGCGAGGAGACGCCGCCAGCUGCUGCGGAAGAGGAUGAGGCGGGGGGAAGAUGGCUGCACCGGCAGAGCUGCGCGAGGAGGAUCUGCGCCUCGCGACAAUGAGCGCCGCUUCGCUGCUUCCAUAAAUAUCUCGCCGCGCGCCGCCACCGUGAUGGGGUGGAGAGGAUUCGCGCGCACUGAUGGCCCUACAAACAACACUUGGUCGGGUUGCCCACCCUCCCAGAUCGGCUGAGUGUGUGCUGAAAUCGGACCAUCAGAUGCUUUGAACGGGACGAUUCGUGACGUCGUGCGUGGGGGAAAAAAUCUCCCAGAAGAGCUUUGGUCAGAGUUGGCCACCGUAACCGCUGGGAGUCUUGUACUCCCAGUAGUGUCACCCGCCACGGUCAAGUCAGAGGUGAGGUAUCGGAUGAAGAGCAGUCCAGCCCAGCCCAACACGGAGACUCAGCGGUGGGGCAGACGGAUGCAGAAGGCACGCUGCUCCACGGCUGCGCGGGCGGAUGGGGCUGCAGUGGAAGAGGAACCCCAGUUGUCUUGGAUGUCCUUGCUGCCGGACGCAGGUUUCUCCUCUGCCAAGAUCCAUGCAGCGGUUGAUGCGCAAUGGUCUCCUCACAUUAAAAAAACCCUCACACGCAGGCAUCUCCCACUGGUCCGGCACUUGCUACGAGACCCGGUACCAAUACCCAUACCUUCCGCAAAGUGCUGCAGCAAUGCACGAGUGGCAGCGGGGACAGACGAAGUGAGCACCAGGAGUCCCUAGUCACGGAUCCAUAUGCCGGUCGGUGGUGGCCGUGUUACGGUUGCUUCACCCUCGCAUGCUUGGAGUGCAGUAUUAUAAUGUGCUUCAUGCGGAAGGUUAGCCUUGGGCUGAUGAAGAAAGAAAAGUUUUGUAGACAGAGAAAGGAGGACUAAGAGGCUGAUCCUGCAUCCGCUGAAAUUCUGCACCCAGGGACAAAGCACCCACUGAUCUAAACGAUGCAGAAACAUCACGAGUGGGUAGAUAUUAUUCUGAACCCCACAAAUCCCUUCCUGCCUCUUUUAACUCUCACUGAACCCAGAUGUUUUACUAUCCCUCUUACACUGAAGCAGAAAGGAAUGGACCAGGGUUUAAAAUAUGUCUGAAAGCUGAGAAGUAGAGGGGCACCUUGAGGCUCCAGAUCACCUGAGCUAAUUUCUUGUUUUCAGACUGCAUAAACAGUCUGGUAGCAGGGAAGCGGGGGAAUGCUCUGCCUUUGAUCUGCAGGCUUCCCAGAUGACAACUCCCUUGGCGUUAUCUUCCAUCCUGGUUCUGAGAAGACAAGCUCGGUUCACUGAUACUGCUGAAGGGCAUGUAAACUGCAGCACAGAUUCCAGUCCGAUUCAGCAAAAUAGUAUGAUCCCCAGGACAGGAGUCACACAGGUCCUUAGCAGGCCUGGAUGGAUUGUCAGGAGUUGAAUCUGGAGUCUUCUCUAUGGCCAGACUUCUUCAGGACAAUGGGCCUGCAGCUAUAAUGGUGAAUUCUCACUGCUUUGAAAAAAAUUGAGGGAAUGUUCUACCAGUAAAAGUUCAGAGAAUUAAGCUAUAAGUAUAGAUAGAUUGGACCUCCCCGCCUCUGUUCUUAUAUAGCUGUUUUCAUCAGUCAUUCUCAAAGCACUUUUCAAAGGAGGACACUAUCAUUCAUUAGUUGUUCAGCACUUGCAUAUUUCUUUAUUCCUUCAAAGCACCUCAGACAUUCAACCACCCUCAUUUUACCCAGGAAAAAGAGUGUAAAUUAAUGCUAUGACCCUCAUUUUAGAGGUGGGGAAACAAAAGCACUGAUAUUUAAGAUUUCUGGGUGGAUUCCUCUCUCUGCUUCGGGACCUGUUCCCUUGGCCUCUGCCUGGCUCUGGUUUCUGUGGGACAUGCCCCAUUGUCUCAGCUUUGUUAACUCUGCAAUUUGGCUGACACCUGUGCUUGGGGGAGCCAUUUCAUGUUCCUAGUGCAGCUUUAUUAAAACAAAAUAAAUUAUGCUAAGUAAAACGCUCACAGAAGCGAGGCAGACAUUAUGAGGUAAAAUUGCUGGCACAGCAGGGGUUUCCGCUCCGGUAUAGCUUUGACCACAGCCACUUCAGCUGCAAAUUGUGUUCUCCCCCUCAUCAAAAUUAAAACGGGGAGUGUUAAAACCCUAUUUUUUCAGGCCAAGAAGUAAACAGACAUGGCUUCUGGGGAAGAACUGGUGACUGCCUGAAUAAAAGAGAGCUUCCCACCAUGAGACUUGUACUGCUGGGCCUUGCAGAGGGUAGGAAAGGUCUGGAGAAGAAACCAGUGUCCCACUGUUUGGUGCCAUCUCUGAACCAGCUAACAUUUUUUCCAAACUUGAAAUGGUUCUCGCGCCUUUCUUCUCCUCCCUUCCCCUCUUUUUCUUGUUAAUACUUAGCACUUACAAAAUGUUAUAUAGGCAUUACCUAAUUGACCCUCAUAGCUAAGAUAACCUAAUUUAUAGAUGCACAAAUUCAGACAAAGGAGUCAUGAGAUGUGCCCCAGACAGAAGUGGAGGCAGUGUUAGAGCUGAGCAGAACCCAGAUGUUCCUGGUUUUAAUGCACAGAUAAUUAGACCAUGUCUCUCCCUUUCUAUGGACAAUGCUGUAGACACACAUUUUUCUUUAUCACAGGAUUGAUGGAUGCUUUUGUUCAUUUGAUGGGUAGAGUUGUGUAGACUUCUAACAGGCUCCAUUCCCACUCCUCUCCCCUCUCUUUCCUCUGUGUGUGUUUGGCACAGCAUGUCCAUACACAUAUUUUUUUGCAUUCAUGGACCUUUUCCUUCAUCUCAGUCUUCCACCUAGCAGGCAGGGAUACUUCUUACCCCAGGGCUGCAUUUUUACAAGAUCAGAUUCUCGCUUUUUGCAAUGGAAUGAAAGUGGCCUAACAGAUACGUCUCAUCAAACCUGCCCAGUGGCUGAGGUGUCCUAUGUGCUCACCCAGGAGGGAGCUUAAAGCAGGGGAAAGGAAGAAAUUCUUGUCUAAAUAUCAGUGCUGAUAUUUAGUCUCUACAUUUCUACGAGUCGGGGAGGAUUUCAGAUAUGUGACUUUGAACUGUCACUCAGGUUCCUCACAUGGGCUCUCUUCCUUCCUUUUUUACUUCACAAAGUGAGGCUGUUUGGAAAUGCGAGAGGCCAGGAGUUGGGGGCAGGAACAGCAAUGUUUCAGGUUGACCUUUAGGGAGUACUGGCAACUCAGUAGGUGGCACUCUUGUCUCUGAGACAGCUAUGGGGACAGGGGCUGCUCGGCUGUUGGAGGUGAUGUCCUUCCAAAUGAGACGUAGCUGCCUGUGGUUAUUAAAAAAUUACUUUAUGCACAGGUUGGGGUUAACCCAUGAUGAAAUGGCCUGUGCUGUCAACACCAAAUUGUAGCAGUUUAUCGAUCAGGCUGAUGCUUUCAUUUGAGGAGUAUGUUCCUCAACCUGUGUCCUAGCAUUGUUACAUGCUGCUGAAACAUGGCUCAGUUCCACCCCAGUAGUCGCUGCAUUUCAAUGACGGAUUAAUUGAACUGUCUGUUUUCCUCUGUAUCUCCCUGAGAGAGGAGUUGUAAGGUUUUAAUUAUUUACAACUGGCAGAGUCAGAUUCUUGGGAGAUAAGUAUUAGAGGAGUGUGAAGCAUCAUAUGAUAAUGUUGUGCAGCAAAGCAUCUGCAUAAUCAAACCAAUCUGCCAAGGAUCUGCACUUUCUUUUCUCCUUUUGCCUUUCCCUAGCUCCUUCCAUUUGACAGCCACAGAGUAUUUAGCCAACAUUAAUGAAUUAAGGUAGGUAGGAGAUAUAUGAGCCCUUCAUAUAUGAUAUAUAUCACUUCAUCCACUGCUAUAAUCAACAGUGGUUUGCCAGCUUGGGGCAGUGCUACUUUGCAAUAUGGACAGCAAGGAUGUAUGUACUGCACUUGGGAGUGUAUGUGCAUGUCUUCCCUAGCUUUAGUUUACAUAGCUAGGGCACCAGGGUAGGCUCAGGCCUCAGAGUGGGCUAUACAAAACUCCUUGGGGACCAUUGGUGUGGGUAGUACCUCAAGUCCCUGCUUCCCCAGCUUCCCUGCUGUGGGUACUUAAGCUAGCUGGAUCAGAGCUAAGUCACCUAAGUCCUUCUGUGUUGCAGGCAACUUCCCCACAGGUGCAGAGAAAGAGACAUAGAUGAUAGCAAGUGCAGUGAUCAUCUGUGUAACUAGAUUGCAAUUGCUGAUGUUGGCAGUGGAUCAGGACACAGAGAUUAAUUUACAAUGCUAAUCAAAAAUGCCUUGGGCUCUUCCAUGCUGGAUCAUUGGUUCCCCACCAACUAGAGGGAAGAUCCCAGUUGGUUAAUUGCUGGGGCUGCUCAUUGGGCAAGGAAGAAGUCCCACCCAAGCAGUCCAGUCCUACUUAGCUCUUGAGAUCUGCAGAGAAUCCUGGCAGAAGAUCAAACAGCUGAAAGCAGGGUGUUGUGUGUGGUGCCGACAAGUGCCACAGCAUACCGAACAUAGCAGCAGCCACAGCCAUCUGCAGUUUGCUGUCACCAGUGUUUCCUUAGAACUUCUGCCAUUGCAAGACACUCAUGUUCUGGGGUGUCUGUCUCUUCUCUCUCACUCUAAGAUUCACUUUGUCAACCGGAGUUUUCCCCAGGGUGAAAAAGAAGAGGAAAAGAUGUAGAUGCUGACUGUAUGAGUUGAGGAGGCCUGAGGAUGAGUUGUUGAGACAGGGAAGGGGCAAAAAGGGAAAGGCUGAGGCAUGUUAGAAGGAGACCAGCCAGGUUGUCAUUUUGGACAUUUGCACAUCUCUAGGCAGUAAAUCAGGCCAUUCGCUGAAGCUUUGUGGGUAACAUUUGUGCAUUAUAAUGUUUACAUGAUAUCUCAAAACACUGAGCAAAGCUGGAAACUAGGUUUUAGUUCCACUACUUGGCACUGAGAUGUGGGAUCUGAACCCAAAGUAGAAAGAGGGCUGAGCUUCCCAAGCUGGGGUUAGCCAUGAGACACUACAGUGCUGUGCAUGGCUAAGGCAAGAGAGAUGCAAUUACACUGGAUUGCAGUAUGACUGCCCUGACUUUGUUAUCUGCCAGUCUCGUUCAGCCGUGCUUUAAGGGCUGUGCCGGAAAAUGCCUCCAAGAACCACAAUAGGUCUUGGUACACCUGAGAACCAAACAAGGCUGUGUGAUCUACAAGAGUUUACAGGACAGCUGGUAACCAAGAAGUGCCUGUGUUUCCUGCCCAUGAACAUAUCUCAUUACAGCCUUCUGAAUACACAGCAUUUUCUCAGAAACCAGCCUGAGGGACAAUUAUACAUUAAUAGCUGCUUCUUUCAGAAGCAGCCAGCCCCGCUCCUGAGAAACAGCUAUUUUCAGGCAGCCCUGUUCCUGAGGAGAUGCUAUUUUUAGUGAGGUCUAUUUCUGAGAAAGAAGCCAUUUCUUUAUCCCGAAACCAUGGCCCAGACCCACUAGCUGUGGCUGACUUUCUUUCUGCAAUAAAUGUUUCCUCUUUACAUCUCUGUUGCCUGGAGAAAGUGGUUCUUCAGCCGCUACGCAAAGCAGCACUCUGAAUGAGACCUAAUUAUGCAGACAGAGGAGUGGUGGGAGGUAAAUCCAGGCGCAUGUACCACAGAUUCCACUAAUGUUCAGAGCGCAAUGUAACAGUUCUCUCCUGGAAGAGAGAGGCCUAAUUUGGAAGUCCUUCUUGAUCUCCGUUUACAACAUACCAAGCAUAACGAAUAACCCUGCACUUGGGGUUUCUCUGAGUCAAUAUACUGCUGUAGUAAAACCACGCUGCACCUGGGGAAGACAUCAGUGCUCUGCUCUGGGUAAGUUAUUUGAAGCAACAGGCAUCCCAUUUUCACAGUCAUUAACCUGUUGCACAUGCACAUUCAAACUGAGAUUCAAGAUUCAAACUGGGAAUCUGCAAUGCCUCAGUGAAAGCGCCUCCAUCAGUGCAUUGCAGUAGACCUGUCUAAUACACUUGGGACCUGCUACCGCUCCUCAUUGAGUUAAUGGGAACUGUGAGACAUUGCCUUGAGCUACCGGCCUAUAAUAUAAUUUUGUAUGAUAGAUGAGCUUAUAUUAUUAUACCAGUCAGGCUUCUUAUUUGCAGAGCUAGCUCAAAAGCUGGUGGCCUGACAUGAGAGCAAAGCAAGAGUGAAGCUGUGCUAAACUUCAGCAGACCUGGUGCUUCUCAGGUCUUAUAGGAUCAGAAGAAAUCAGGACUAGACGGGCCCUCAUAUGGUCAUCUGGUCCAGCCCCCUGCUCAAGGCAAUCUCAGUUGGAAACAGCUCUUUUUGUAUCUACUGCCUGCAGCAGCUAUGUGGCUGAAAGCAGCAUCGGGGAAGAUGAGAUGUUGGAGCCAUAUUGGACAUGGGUUUGUGGACAUUGAUCAGUAUUUCCAUGCUCAGGAGCUUGGCCUGUGAGCAGUCUUCCCCUAUCUGCAUGAUGUAUUCUAACAGCCCCCAUCCCUCACCCCGAGUGCCUAACCCUGCCCAGAUACCCUGGCGGGUGGCUGCUCAGUACUCAGUCCUGUUCAUCACCAUUCUGACCAGGCUUCUGGUCCCACAAGCUUCUGGUCUCACUGCUGCAUGAUCUCUGUUUCCAAGAGUUUCUCUGUUUCAUUCCUCCUGUGCCUUCCGUACCUCCCAGAUUGCAACCCAUACUAGAAGAAAAGAUUCUUAAAGAGCUCUUUCCAGAACCACCCAUCCUAGCCUUUAAACAAGCACUGAACCUCACCAACCUCAUCACCAGAAGCAAAAUUCCCAUGGCCCAAAGCACACCAAAUGGAUCCAGACCAUGCUGGGACAGGAAAUGUAAAACCUGACAACACAUCACCACCACUCCCACAAUAACUAAACGCCACAGCACAACUAUCACCGUUCCUGGAUCUUCCACCUGCACCUCCAGGAAUGUAACAUAUCUCAGCCAGUGCAUGGAAUGCCCUGAUGGAAACUACAUAGGAGAAAUGAAACAAUUGUGUACCAGAAUGAAUGCACGCUGAAAAUCUAUCAAAGACAAGAAUACCCAGCUACCUGUGGGUGCACAUUUCUCACAAGACAACCACUCUCUCCCCAGUCUCUCAGCUCUAAUCUUCAAAGGGAAUUUACAAAACACCUUUCAAAGAUGAGCCCAUGAACUUCACUUCAUAAAUCCACUGGAUACAAAAAACAUGGACUAAAUAUAGACAUUGGAUUUGUGGCACAUUAUAACCUGCCUGCCAUCCAAUAACCCCAGGUAACCUCCACAUUUUACCGGCUACAUUUUAUCACUGUGUCUUUUCCCCUCCGACCUACCUGUCUUGCACCCAUUAACUCCCAUCCCCUCUGAUCUUCCCUGCCACACACGUGCAUUUUCACGGCUUUGCAUUUAGCAUAUUGGCUUAAGCAUCUAUUCCACCUAAGAGAGCACACAAUCAUUAGCAGACACUCCCUAUGCCUGAAGAAGGGUGUUUGUGCCCAAAAGCUUGUAAAGAACAUUUUUUUCCAACUAUUGAGUUGGUCUAAUAAAAAAUAUCACAUUUACCCAAAGAACCUUGUCUGCCUUCCAUACCUCCCUGAAUUCUGUACCUCUCUGGCAUUUCCAAGAAAUGCUUUUGCGGUCUGCAGCAGUGUCCAGGUUCUCUGGCUCCCAGGCAGGACGGCUGACACUUCAGAUCUUGAAGCAGAGAACUACUUUCAGAGAGGUAAAGAGGAAACAUUUCUUGAAGAAUGAAAGAAAAAGUCCAUUAUGUCUUUUUAAAUAGCUGUAGAGAAUGGAUCUUCAUCCUCCCAAAUUAUUUCUGCGCUACAGGGUCACAACUUGUAGCUUUCAGCAUUGUUGGCAAAUUGUUUGUGAGUUUUGGUGUCCAGACAUUGUAGACAAAAAUGCAUCAUGACACCAGUUGAUGACAUCUGGCCAGUUCUUUUCUUUUUAUCUGUUUUCUUUAUAAAUAAGCUUUUAAAACAUUUCCCAGUUUUAGUGGACAAGUGGAAAGUUAUCUGGUGUCACCAUAUUAGUGAGAGAAGAGAUUUGAAGGGUGUCUUUUGUCAGCAUGGACCACAUGUUCUUCCCUGUACCACAACCCGUGGAGGACAUAAACAUUUUGAUCCCUGAAUGUCCCUUCUCGACAGCUUCCAUGGUGGGGGGCUAGCAAGGACAGAACAGAUGUCUGGUGUUUUCUAACACUGAUGAGCACUGUCCACUCCAGGGGCUGUAUAACUUGCAUGCAAUUUUCCAGCUUUGUUUUUACAUGAGUUUUCUUGACUUAUAAUCCAUGAAUCUCGUGCUUAUGCAGAUCAUAACAAUGUACCUUUAAGCUCAGGUAACAGCUCCUGAGAGCUCUUCAGACCAUGGAGUUGUAAUUAGAAUGGCUUAGGCAACAUGGCCAGUUAGUGUUAGUGCUUGGCUUGUACUUCUUCAACAUUUCCUUCCCACUUUGUCACCAUCCUGGGAUGUAUGCAGCAGGAGGGGGGUGAGAGGGAAAGGGGCACUAACUGCUGUGUGAGCUCCUUCCAUGGCUUCUGCUCUAAACUGGAACCACUCAUGCUCAGGGCAAGCCCAAACCCUCCCCAAUGUCAUACUUGUGGUCACCUCCCUGAAAUCAUAGAAUCAUAGAAAACGAGGGUUGGAAGGGAGCUUGGGAGGUCAUCUAGUCCAACCCCCUGCUCAAAUCAGGACUAGCCCCAACUAGAUCAUCUCAGCCAAGGCUUUGUCUACUUGGGUCUUAAAAAUCUCCAAGGAAAUCCCUUCCACUGUAUCCCCAAACAUCUCUUAAAGCAAUAAUAAAGAUGGCAUUCAGCACCUGGGCUCUGGUUCCACCUCUGAGGACGCAUCAGGAGUUUGCCAUCAAGCAGGUCCCUGGAGACAUUACUUAGGACAUCUGUAGGAUCUCCCCAUUUGAUCAGCUGGCUGCUCUGGCUUGCCAUGGAUGGAAGCAUCAUAAUGGCAAUCCCAUAUUGGGAUCCUGCUGCAACAGCCUCUUCUCCCUCUUCACUGUAAAGUAGAUCCCAGGGAGAAGAAUGGAUUGGUAUUUGGAGCACUGACAGUGAUCCCCCCUGUGAGCUCUGCACAGUAGGGACAUGAAGCUAGAGCAUGGCCAGACCUCUGCUUUGCAUCCACUGCCUUUGGGUAUCACUGCUCAGGGGGCUCGAUAGGCUCCAGCCCUGCAGACUGGUCUGGGGAAUGCAUUUUGAUAGUGGAUAUUCCAGGCGCUGUGGCCAGAAGCUGGGGUGGGGGGUGCUGUACUCCCUGCAGGCAUUAACCAGACCCCGCAUAUGCUGCUCUGGUGUCCGGGACUCACCCUUGGCUUGGUGCAGUGAGCAUCAGCUGGCAGUCAGGAGCUGGUAGGGGCCAUCCUAGUCGCUUGGAGUAGUCCGUAAAGAAAAUGAGGGCUUCAAUGCUGACCUGGGAGCUAUCUGGCUUGCAGAGAAUAGAAGGAGAUGUGCAGAAGAGUCCAGAACAGGGAACUGUGGGAAUGCCAGUGGAGGACUGCCUGUAGUGGAGCUCUGCAAUUCAGGAGACACACCAUGAUGAUGGUGUUGGGUCAGGUGGUUUCACUGUAUCUGGAAGGGGAGAUCCCCUUCCCAGGCUUGAAUGACUUGGUGUAGUUGAGGGUGGAGACCUGUCCAUUGCACAGUGGACAGGCCUCCUAUGAGAGUCUACUAUAGCCUCCCAAUGGGAGGAUCUUGGCUUCACAAUAUAUGGCAAUGGGGGAUUGCUCUCAGGGUUUCUUUCUAGCUUGCUCCUAUGGCCUUUUGGCUAGGGACAAGCGAGAGUAGGGGGUACCUGAACCCCAAGGCCUCCGGGCUUGGGGCUUGCACAUAGGAUACCUCCCAUGGAUUUAGGAGUAUUGGAAGCUCCCGGAGGGAAGAUAUUUGCCAAUGGUAGCGUCACUCAGAUUUGAACGACUGAGCUCCACCCGGUUGAUAGAACUUGGAACUGAUUUGGCUGAUUUGGCCAAAGACACAAAAUUUAAAAAAAAAAAAGCUCUGCUGUAACCUCACUGCAGAAUGGCCACAUAAAGAGGCAAAGUAGUGGCUAAGGGAGGCACAUACCCUGAACUCAGGCAGGGCUUGUGCUCCUGGGUUAUACUCACUGCAGGAGAUGAGUGUAAGGAUUUUUGGCAUGGAUGGCUGGGAGGUACAAGCAUUAACACAUGCCCGAACCUAUGGCCUAUUAUCCAUGUAGACAUACCGUUGGUUUAUGAGGCAGAUGUCAAUAAUCCUGGGAUCUCAACUAGUGAGUUUGAAUUUCUUGGCUUCUUCCUGGUGCUGUAGCUCUGAGCAUUGGCAAGUCUCAGAUAGUCUGUCCCCUGCCGGAGAAUAUAACUAGAAGGGAGCAUGUGCACAUGCAUAUGACACUCACCUCUUCUAGAGAGCAACAGAACUGCUGGUGUGACUAAGCUAGUGGUGUUCAUCCUAUAAAUAGCCUCAUCCAGGCCAGAAUUUCAGGCUCCACCAGUCCUGAGUCCAAACCCAAUGUAUUCUUUUAAUGCAGCAUUUUUCAUUAGGCCCAUUAAGUUCAACCCCAAACCAAGCCAGAUGGUGGUUUUCCAAAAUACAGGCUCUUUCCAGGAUUUGACUAGGGUUUUACAGGGAUUUAGAUGCCAUCACACAGCGAGACAGGAGGUCGGUCAUGUUUGCUGUACAGUCACAGUUGGCAUUUCAUUUGCUCUGGGCUAGCUACCAUCCCAGUACCGACACUACAGUGCUAAUAUUGGCAGCAGGAAAUGGAUCAUUUCUACCAGAACUGUGUCUGUUGCUUUUAGUGGGAUGGUUCUGACCUUAAUAGUGCUGUAACAAAAUAUAUCUAUAAAUCUUCAUUCCACUGGAAAAUUGCUCAGUGGCCUUCCACACAACAAGAGCCCUUGAGAGGGCUGCCUCUUUGGCCUCAAUGAAAUGUGAAGAAGCAGCUUUGACUGUGGUGGGAGCAUCUCAUCCCCACUGCUUGCCACAGGCUAUGCUGACACAUCUGAGCUCCUGGUUCUCUCAACAUCACAGGGGGUAAUGGAGCAAAUCCUGAGCUUGUCCCAUAAGGGGAAGAGGUUUCCCUAGAUCUCAUGAAUGAUACAUAAUGGGAAGCCCCUUUGGAAGUAAAACAUUUCCCUGAAUACACUGAGAUUUCUACCAGAAAGCCUAGGUAAACAGGGUAUAGGAAGAAAAAGGGCUCAACCUUCUGCUGCCACACCAGCCGGGUCACCGUGAUGUGACAAAGAGCCUGCCGCAGCCACCCUGCCAGAGGACAAUGGGACCAGGAGGCUGGAGUGCUUUGUAAGGGGAGGUGGUAGCCGGGAAGAAAAAUAGAUAAAAAGAAGGAGAAAGGCCAGGAAAUGUCAUGGAGCUAGUGAGAUGUGAAUGCCGGCAUCAGGGCAUUUAAAUGUCAGGAGAAAAGGAAAUCGGCAAGUCGAGGUGGGAUGGAUUUUAAUUAAAGCAUUAGAGCUGAAGAGGAAAUGAAACCCACUUGCCAAGCAAGCUCCAAAGCCUUUCUGUGCAAAGGACUUGACUUUUGUUUGCCUUACGAUGCCUGUGUUAUGAGAGAGGGAAGGCAGCGGGGUGCUAGGCUGACAUGUUGAGAAAUGCCACCUUUGGGAACAUCAGCAUGCAGAUACAUAUGUGAGCAGCUGUGUGACACCUGCACCCACCCCUGGGUGUGCACAGCAGGAGCUCCUGAAAGCCAGGCCCAGAUGCCAGCAGAAGGUGGUUAAUAAACUCCCCUGACUGCUACAGCAAAGGCCUUAUCCCUCAUUUCCUCGCAGCGCACUUAUAUCGUGUGUCACUUUUCAUAGAGGCAAGAGUACUCACACUGUGCAAGCACCUCCCAGCUCUGUUAAGCACAUGGGUUGCUUGCACAAUUUCCAUGCAUUUGUGUGAGCAGAGUGUCUCCCCCCACCCCCAUUACAAAAAUACAUUUGAAAUCAAUUUAGGAGGCAUUCCUGAUGAAAGUGCUGCAAGGGACCUCGGUAGUGAUGCUAGUCAUUCAGGCACUGGUCUGAUCUUUGGUGCAUAUCACAAGUUGCUUUGAUUUACAGUGGCUCCAUGGGACAGUUUCAGCAGCUGGGUAAUCUGCUGGGCAUAAGGGAGCCCUGGCCAUGCCCCUUCUUUUCCCAGUCAGACCGUCCACAUCAUCGGCAAAGGGGAGAUCAGUGCAGAAGCGGCUCUCCAGCUCUCUAUCACCAGAAGAGUCUCCCGCUCAAGAAGGGCUCAAUGAUAGGUGAACUAGAUAUUAUUAGUACAUAGCUGAUGUGAGUGCCAUGUUAUAGGAGACACUCCUGGUCAAGUGAUGAAGGCACAGUGUUGAGGUGAUGUGAACAAGGACUGAGGGCUCUGCGUAACCCAUAUCCUUAAGGGCAUGUCAAAGGUGUGACUACACUACAGUGUGUGUGACCAUCAGUUAGCAAGGGAAGGGUACCCACUGCAAGGUAGCCGUGCCAACUCAUGCUCCAACCACCUGGGGUCCUGGGUGAAUUCAACUGUUCAGCUCUCACUAAGGUCACCUGUGCUACAGGUAUACUGCAACAAAUACCCACACUGAUGCUAGCUCAGGCAUGUCUUUAUGAGCUGCAGUCCUGCUCCUGGAUUGUUCUGUAGGCAUUUUGCACAAGCCGAAACUCCCAUGCAGGCAUUGUGAUCGCUCUUCUACUGCUUCACCGCUGAGUGCUGGCUCACAAAUGUGCCUGUUUACAUUCACGGCCACACUACACUGUCACCCUUCUCUCGGUCUGCCAGUCUACCAGAAGGACCCAGUCAACUGAUACAGCACAAGCACGAUUAAAAAAUAGAAAGGGAAAUGGUCUUCAGACUUGUGUUCCCCCUGCAGUUAUUCCUAGAGCUUCACUUGUGAUCACCUAGAAACAUCACAUCGCCCACUCUUGCUCAGUACAACAGUGGAGUGUGCUGCAGGGUAUGCUGCAAACAUGGAUCUGUGCUGCCCCAUUACACACCACCCUGCUGCAUCCAUACAGAAAUGCUGCCAUCAGAUCAUUUCAACUGAUCAGAGUAGCAAAAAAAAAAAAAAGACUCCUAAAGCCCCAGAUACCAAAUUAAUAAGAAUAAAAGCAUGUAGGUGAGAAUUAAGAAGGCAUUAACAUUCUGAUGGCAUCUGCUGACUGAAUUAAACUACAAAAAUGAGUUCAGCUGAAGCUCAGGAUCAGGACAAAUAGUUCUCAGAUGGAAAUUACAGUGAUUUUUCAAAUCAUGCACAAAAGAACGCAUUUUUAGGACAUUUUUGCUUGCAAAGUUUUUUCUCCACGUGGAGAGCUAAGGCUCGGCUCAAGAGGCUGUGCGGUGAGAUGAUCUAGACACAAUCGGGUCCUGUCUCUACCAUCAAGACCAAGCUGGCUUGGGUUUGGGGAGGGGUGCAGCUUGAGCUAUAACUCAGUUUCCCAACAAGUCUGAUUAACAUAGAAGGAGGACAGUUCUGCUGUCACAUUUGAAAGCCAUUUCAUUCAUAGCUAUGACACAACCUAGUACGGACCCAGCGGGAGAGGAGGGGAACAGCUUUAUGAAAUGAAGGAGGCCCAGAUUUGCAAAGAAGGUGGAUGCAUGAUUAUGUGGGUAAUUAUGCACAUCACUGACACAUGCCGAUACGGUGAUUGCUAAUAGCGAGCACAAAUACCAGGCAGCUGAGCAUGUAACUGCCUGAGCUGCAAGCACACAGGUUGGGUAUGCUUACCCGCUGGGGAUGCCCCAUUGAGCACCAUAACAAUAGGGCCUUUGUCUCGCAGCACAGGUCUGAUCUCAGAAGCAGGGUGCAGAGAUAGCUGGUGUGAGCCAGGUCAGAAUGGAUCCUCAUCAGACACUAAUUAAUUUGUUCUGCUCUUUGAUGAGCUGUAAAAUACCCUCCUUUCCUAGAAUUCUGCCCUGCUUUUAUCCUGCAUUCUCUCCUGAAGCAGUAAAAGGAGAAGGUGCUGAUAAUGACCCCCGCCCCCCAGUUGUGAUAAAAGCCAUCAGGGUCACUAGGGACUUUGCUCUUUUUCUGUCAGGAGCACAAAGCUUGUGAGGACUUGGAGAGAUUGCCCAACGAAGAACAGCUUUUCCCAUAGUUUGGAGAAUCUAGGGCACCCUAGAAAAACAAAUUGCUCCCAUUAGGGGGUUGCAGUGAAGACCUUUUGUAGACAGGGCUCAGACGUGGGGUCAGACUGUUCGACUCUAUUGAUGCUGUACAUACAACACUUGACCCUAGAUCAUGACAAGGCCUUGCUUGGGAUAGAGAGGUCCAUGUCACUCACAGCUCAGCCGAUGCAAAUCUAUCACGUCUUCUCUAAUGUGGAAAGCAAGAGCUUUUCUUUCCCUGUUUUCAUCACAGAACCUCCUUUCUCCAUCCAGAGUCAGUAAAAGGGAUGUUCUGAGCUAACAGUGCCAUCAUCAAGCAGACCUGGGUGGACAGGGAAGCCUUGUUGCAUAUCCAAUAGCCCAGCCCAAGGGCAAAAGCAAAGCUUCCUGAAUCUCCUGUUGAAUUCGGAUCAUAAAAUUCUGCCACAGGAUAUGUACUGAUGGCUGAAUCUUUACUGAGAAAGCCCCUCUGAAGGCCUUUCAGUGUUCAAAGGGAUACAUUUAUUCUCCCUUUUGCUGGCUUACAAGUCCAUUGAGAUCUAGGAAAUUUCUAUUCCCAUAUUACACUUCUCUAACAGCAGUCGCACUUGUCAUGUCCUUUCAGAUGUCUCCUAUGUUUCCCAAUGCUCUGACUUCCUGCAACAUGCACAACGAGUUCUCCUCCACACCUCUUUUCUCUGUGCCCCUGUCUAUACUGCAAAACUGCUGAGACCUGGCUGCAGCACUGGCUGGGGAGGGAAAGUGAGGACAAGGAACUGAAUGUGCGGGAGAUGAGACUGCAACUUGUUGGCCUAGGACAGUAGGAUUGAGAGGAGAAGCCCAAGGAUGGGAACUGGUACUGGUUAACUGAGUAGACAGGGAGUACAAUGAUGAGAAAAGCAUGGGGCAGGGUUACUACAUGAUGAUUAGGCGACUUUAAUUCAGCCAUUACCUAGCUACAUUUGAUCUGAGCCUUCAAGAGGCCGAGAAGCGAUACUACAUGGUGCCUGACUUGGCACCCCAAUACCAUUUUGUGAGUGUGUUCCAGCUCUGUCACUUCAUCCACCAGAGGCAGAUUGCAGCCACCUCCAAGGCAGAGCUUCACGGCAACACUACGCUGUAAAUAAUACCUUUUUCAUCUGAAACUGCGAGAGGAAUCCUCUGUAGGUGGAACACGCUCAUUUUUGGUGCUGGAACUAGGCCAGAACAGUGGGCUUACACAAUUACGGCAAAUGCAAUAGGAUCUUGAAUGACCGCAGCUGGUCAGGACUUUACUCAGUAUUGAACCAAUGCCCCGACACAAUAACAAUGAAGACUAAAACGGAGGAAAAAGAAUUGCACCUAUUGAAUCAUCAGUGCCACUUCCUACAACCCUUCCCCGAAUUUCCUGCGGGGGUCUCCUGUCUGCAUACAACCCUAGACCUACCUGGCUCACGUGAUGCAUGUCUGCCUUCCAGCCCAUGACAACGGUACUCGGGUAUUUAUGUCACAUAUGUUUUGUAUGCAUCAAAUCAUAUCAUUAGGGCCAUGUCUAAAACACAGAGUCAAGGAGGGCCUCUGUGAGCUUAUCACAGCUAAAACAAACAGGGAUUAUAACCGUUUUGAGAUGCUUUAGGUUGUUUCCAAAGGAUACAGGCAAUAAAAUGAACAUGGUGUGGAGAGACUGCUCAUACAUCUCUGCUGGGAAGAGCGGAAGAACUUGCAGGCUCAUAAUUUUGGAUGGCAACUGCAUUUCUGUUUUGAUUUCAGACUGCAUAACGCACCCUUGGAGACCGGUGCAGCAAAUGUUACAGAUGGAAGGAGGCUUUGUGUGGGCCCAAAAUUAAUAAAGAGAAAGCUAAGAAGUGAGCUGGCAAAUGAAGAACCUUAUGAACAGGCCAAUAUGUGUGCUAAUAAAAGUGCCCAGUUCCCAAACAGUUUCUCAACCACACCACUGAAGUACACACCCUUCUGGCAGGAGAGAAGAUGGGAGCACAUACUUUUGGUUAUACUUGCUGGCCAGCUGGCUACGCUGCUGGUUAGGGAGCCGGACUGAAUGUCAUGGUGUCAGGAAUAAAGAGGGGAACUGAAGUGACUGUGACUCUGCAGUGGCAUCUGGUGCAACUUUUUAUGUUAUGACUAAAUUCCCAUUUCCAGUCAGGUGCAGCCAGUGUAGUUUUUGGUCUGGAAAUCAGGAGGUUAUCUUAUCCCAGCGGUUAGAGAGAAGUUGAGGCUUCCAAACUGGAAGGCAGUGGAGAAAGAAACUCAGAGAUCUGAAACCUUAUAAUUUUGUCUCUAACACAUUUAAAGCCCAGUUUUCAUAAGCAGUAUCUACAGUUGCAUGCCAGCAUCAUAAAUGUGAAUUUGCAUCCUCCAACCUUCCACCUUGCCGGAGCUGAUCUAAGCCGGUGGGUAUAUACAGACACACCAUCUCUAAUGCUAUGGGCUUCUGAGUAUGGGCAAAUUCAUACUGAGCCCAUGGUAAGUCCCCUUCUGAAGUGUGAGCCCCUAUAUGAUUUUGGGGAAAAAACGUGGCCCAUGGAGCCUCACUGUGAAGUUGCCUUUCCAGGGAGAUGGCUCAAGCUUUCCCCCCGCUGCGUUAUGUGAAGCACAUUGUGGUGCAUUGCAUCCGCUGUUACUUUCUGUGGAUCUGCUUGGGUCUGUGCAAUAGGGCUUCAGUGAGGCAGCAGUGAAGCCUAUGAAGAUGAAUACAGACAACCCUGCCUGGAAAGCUGGGACUAAGGGGCUGAAGAUAGGGGAGCAGUAUGCAAAUUAUGAAUUCAUUUGUGCAAAUUAAAAAUAUCCAACCCUUUCUGGAUUCAAGCUGGCUUCCACAUGCAGUUGCAGCCCUUUAUAUCUAUUGCAUGGAGACAACAGCUGCUAUUACGCGUCCAGAGGCUGCCUCUCACCAUGGCAUCUAGACUCCAUUGCAAUACACAGCAAUUUGCAUCACACACUUACGUACCUCAGGAAAUAAGCACAUGCUACCAUUAACCAACUCCAGCUUUGAUUGAGUUGCUAGAGGGAGUAAAUCUCAGAAAGAGAAGACUCUUCACAGGCAUUGCCUUGCUGCAUCCCUAAAUUCCUAGACUCAUAGAAAAUGAGGGCUGGAAGGGACCUCAGGAGGUCAUUUAGUCCAACCCCCUGCUCAAAGCAGGACCAUCCCCAACUAGAUCACUCCAGCCAGGGCUUUGUCAAACCGGGUGUUAAAAACCUCCAAGGAUGGAGCUUGCACCACCUCUCUGGGUAACCUGUUCUGCUGCUUUACUACCCUCCUCAUGAGAAAGUUUUUCCUAAUAUCCAGCCUAAAGCUCCCUUGCUGCAACUUGAGACCAUUGCUCCUUGUGCUAUCAAUUCAGUCCCCUUACAAGACAAGGGGUUUUGGGCUCAUGGCAGCUGCCAGGUGACAUAUCCAAGAGUUAGUCUAGAAAUAGAAGAGGUAGAGGAGAGUUGUGCGACUCAUUACCCCUGUGAGUUGAGGGUGGCAGGGGACAGGACUGAUGUUCAGUCUCAUGCUCAAGCACCCCUAUAUCUGCCUCCCUCCUUGAAAAUCAUGAUCUACAUCAGGGAUCAUUAUUAUUAGAGUGGGUCAGAUGAUUCAUUCUUCAUGUUCAGUGUGGAUUUGGCCCUAUCCUUUGUUUAGGAAUAGUUAGAAUCAUAAUAGGAAAGACAAGCUGGCAGGGUCCGUAGAAGGUCAUCUAGUUCAGCCCCCUGCUCAAGGCAGGAUCAUCCUCACCUAAACCAUCCCAGACUAGCGUUUGUCUAAUGCGCCCUUGAAAAUUCCCAAGAAUCGAGAUUCUACAACCUUUCACGGUACUUGUUCCAAAGCUUGACCACCCUCUUAGUGAGAAAGUUUUUCCUCCUUUCCAAUCUCAGUUUCCUCUGCCAUGACUCCAUCCUGAAUUUGUAGACGUAUUCACCACUGUUUCAAUGAACAGUCACUCCACUGUUCUCUGAACUGUUCUCUUUGCUUUUGAUUGUGGGGCAAGUAAUAGGUCAUCUCCGUCACAUGGUGUUGUUUUUGCUGCUUAAUUGGAUGAAUUAAACCUUUUCAAAGAAAGAAGUAACCAACAUCAAUUGGCUUUUAAUGCCCUCUCAGCCCAGAGAUAAAGAAUAAUUCCCAGUAAAAUGCAUUAGACUUUUGGCCCUUGUAUUUCCAUGAAUCCUCAGAUGCCAUCUAAAUAUAUUUGAAUGAAGAUGAUGAUGAUGUGUUGUCUCAAUCAAGGACCAGGACUCAGCGGUAUUAGGCACUGUGUAAAAAUGGAACAAAUAAAUGGUUCCCACCCCAAAGAGCUUAUAAAUUAAGUAAAUUUGAGCUCAGGGUUAGCAAAGAGAAGAACACAGUGUUCUCAUUUAUUUUGCCUGAUUCACUCAGCUCUCAAGCAGGCAUAAGGAGAAAACAGAAAGGGACUGCCUGCAAAAGAGAUCACUCUGCUCACAUUAAAUAUUUGGGGUGAUAUCAGGACGGUGGGGAAGAGAAAUUUCUGCCUACACUGUAGUCAGGGUGUGUAAUGUUGGAGCCUGUCAGACCCUCUGUCUACGUGAGAACAGCUAGAGUUCCUCUGGAUAGACUGCAGUAAGUUUGUGUGGCAACCAGGGUGGUCUUGGGUUUAAAGCAGCUGCAAAUUCAACCUCCUGAUCCCAUGCUCUUUGCAGUGCUUGCUUUCUCUUUUCCCUGCUUUGGUUUCUCAGCCUCAUGUUUCAAGGACGCCCAGAAAAGGCUGUUCUUUUCCCAUCAGGCUGCAUCUCUGCAGAGCAAGUCUGAAGCCCUCGUCCAUGCCAGGCUUGUUUGACCUCCUUUCAUCGCCAGAUGUUUCACUGGAGAGCUACACUUGGGAAAGCUCUGGGCUGCACUUGGCUGCCAGUGAGCGCUGGCUUGGUCAAGCCAUUAUAAACCAAAACAGCGCAAGAAAAACAGGACGUAGUAGUCUAAGUGGAAUUGGCCGAAGGCAGAGCUGAAUCCAGGCAUUUGCACAGGGAAACACACCUGCUCUCAAGGGGUUUGGUCUUCAAAAAUCACCUUAAGUCCCAUAGACAAGUUGAGCUGAGUUGUCUGUAUUUGAUAUUCCCCCCUCCACUUGCCUAGUAGAUUAUGCUAAACUCAAUGCAGUAUCCUCUUUCUAAGCCUCUCUUACUGCAUUGUACCCUACUGAGCUCCCCAGUUGCAAUCCAACAUAACCAGGUGGGAGGAAAAGGGCAACCCAUUGUGAAGGUGCAUGGUGGGGCUGGUAGACAGAGAUAUCUGAAAUACUGGCACACAGUGCAGCCUAAUGGCUGCCAGCAAGGCUCACUUGGAGUGGGCAUGCAUAGGCAGUGAAGGGCUAUUUGGGGAAUUCGCCGUGGACCUCUGUAUGUUGCAGGACUUUUCUUCUCAAGCAUGGAGUUUGUUCUGCAGGGCUUCAGUCUACUUUGGCAACAUCUCUCUGCCCUCCUCAUUCCUCCCUCAGCUUCCUCAUUUGGGGUCAAAUUCUGUCCUGACUUACAAGUGGUGCAAACCUCUUGAAGCCACUGAGAGGAGCUGUGUAAGACAGGAGCCAGGACAGGAUUUGACUUGAAACCUGGCCAUGUGGAUGCAAAGUGAGCAGGUCCCAAAGACAAUGCAGAGCUGAUUAAUGCUGUUGUGAUGGCAGGUGUCACCCAUCAGCACUGCUAUGUAUAGUCCUGCAAGUUCAUGUGCUCAUUUUGCAAGCCAAUGCUCAUCCUUGGAAAGACGCCAUCCCUUGUUGUCAAUUUUAUUAUGCGCGGGGGGGCAGGGGGAGAGGCAGGAGUGUGAUCUGCUGUGGCCUCAGACAGGAGCCAGUUCCUGAGGCUCAGCGGGUCUGGGAGCUGAGCUGGGAUCUCUAGAAGAAGGGUUUCCCUAUGUGCUACGUGCUGUUCCAGGACUCACAUUCAGGUGUAAGAAAACACGCUCAUCCUCCAUGCCAGGGCUGUCCAGCUACCGGGCCCCAAUGCCACAAACUCUCCGAUGCCACCCACCCAUAGGGGCAGCUCCUCCCCAUGCCAUGCACACAGCUCACCCCCUCCUAUCCAAGUCUGCCAUGCAAGCAGCCCCACUUUGCCACCACACACGUGGGCUUCUUUUGCCACGUGCUCAGCGUGGGUAUCCUGGUGCCCCUGCCCCACAUGCAGCAUGGGCUGCCCUGCCCCCAGGAACAAGGUCAGGAAGUGGACGCUGUAGGAAGUAGGGGGAGCCCGGAAACUUGCAGGCCCCAUGUUGACCCCUCAUGGGCACCCCGUUGGGCAGCCCAGCUCCACGCUGUUAAUUUGAUUUCUCCUCCACUUGGAAGCUGAGCUGAGUUGUUGGUCCUGUGCUGCCACGCGGGAGAGGAACAGCACCGUGCUGACGUGUUUAUUAGAGCCCAGAGAGAAGGGUCCCACCCACUGAAUGACCAGCAUCAUGUCCUUCAGCAAUCGGGUUUCCCCAUCCAAAUCCCAGCUGUUUAUUUUAGGAAAUCUGCCUGCCUGUUGUCCACGGCUGUGUGACUAAAGACUGUAGCCGGAGUCGCGACUGGCAUCACUUCGGUGCUGUUAAGCCAGUUAAGACUCUGGCCCUGGAAACCCUGCUGCAGUUCUGAUGUGGGCUAAGCAAAUCUAAUCCUCUCAUUAAUGCCAGUCUCAUCACUUUGGUAGCGGAGCACCAGCUUUUUGUGUGUUCUCAGUUACGCACGAGGAGGAACCACAGGGUAGUCAGCGGGUCCUACACUACUCAAGGUCUUCUGCUGUAUCCCGCACUCUGGUUUCCAAGCACCUUUCGGAGGAGCAGUAAAGGGGAGUCACAUCAGGACAUGAAUAUUCAGGCUGGGAGCUAGACCUGACCCCAAGCUCUCCACUUUACCUCUCCUGCUUUUUCUGUUUCUUAUCCCAAGCAGACAGUUUCUCACUGGAUGGUCUCCUUCCAGAACGAGGCCUCCUUCUCCGGCCCCGUCUCUUCAGCCGCCAAGCCCUGCACGGUGGCAUCAUUCAGCAACCUGGGCAAGAGGAGCAGACUGAUUCAGAAGGAGGAAGGGAUCUGAUCACACUGUGUUCCGCCUUGCACACUCACAGUGACAUUUCAAUCUCUUUUAAACAUCCGCUCCCUCAUUCCUGCCUCCUAAUAUUCCCCAACGGCCCUGGCGAGAGCUAUUUUAAUCCUUCAUCAUUCAUCACGAGGCCCCUUCCUGUUCCCUUUCCAUCUGCUCCGGCAUGUACAUACUCGUGUCGAUCCGCCGAGAAAGCCCCUGCGGUAGCCAUCGUUGGAAAGGUCACCCCGGGAUAGUCACAAACAGCAGGUGUGAAACGAUCGCUGGCGCAAUUCCAGGCAUGUGGCAGGAAGGAAAAGCCUGGACAAUAGGAAGGAAUGGGAUUGUGUUUCCAGCUGAAGGCUCAUGGCAGGGCGAUGGGAUGGGACCCAUCAUGAAAAUGUGAACCGGUUAGGCUGUUGCUAAGCCUUUCCUCCUCCAACCCAGUUGUUUCCAGCUUGCUUGAAGCCAUUUAGAAACCCUGCAUGUACAAGUCACUAUGCCUCAAUCCCUCCCAGGCAAUCAGAUGAGGUAGAUGUCAUCCCUUACCUUCGACAUGGGUCCUAUUGCUUUCCCUGAUGAACAGCAAGGUGGAUUUUCCAUGACAAAAUGAACUUCAGGAUCUUAAAACAUUUGGAAUGAGCUUCUACUCUAACAUGUACAGUUCAGACACUGCUGUGAUUAGAGAGCUAGCUAGACAAACCGCUUUCCUUACACCCCUAUUCACAGCAGUGUUGUGUAAGAAAAGAACGGGGGUUCAUUUAAUGUUGCAGUGUAACUCAAUUCAUAGGAACAGUGUGAAUAGCAUUAGGUACCCGGAGGAUGCUUUCAUGCCAGUGUUUUGCUUUAGUGGAUAUAAAUGUUGCACUCUGAAACCAGUAGAGAAGGGCAGCGAUGGAAGUGUCAUGCUAUCAGCGAAUAUGGAGGUUAGCACUGGCACAAAAUUCAUGGUCUCUGCCCCAAGGUACUUCCAAAAAGGAAGUCAAUCCAGGGCAGACACCUGAUCGGCCGGGUGACCAAAAGGGGUUUCUGUCUUAGAGUGAAACUGGCCAGGAAAGCUUCUCAUCUCAUGUUGAUCUAAUAAAAGAUAUCAAAUUCA